UACGAAGGGUGCAAGCGUUACUCGGAAUCACUGGGCGUAAAGCGUGCGUAGGCGGUUCGUUAAGUCUGUUGUGAAAGCCCUGGGCUCAACCUGGGAACUGCAGUGGAUACUGGCGAGCUAGAGUACGGUAGAGGAAGGUGGAAUUCCCGGUGUAGCGGUGAAAUGCGUAGAGAUCGGGAGGAACACCAGUGGCGAAGGCGGCACUCUGGGCCGGAACUGACGCUGAGGAGCGAAAGCGUGGGGAGCGAACAGG
rnacentral:rRNA from 1 species